rnacentral:rRNA from 1 species
UCGGAGGAAAAGAAACCAACUGGGAUUACCUUAGUAACGGCGAGUGAAGCGGUAAAAGCUCAAAUUUGAAAUCUGGUACUUUCAGUGCCCGAGUUGUAAUUUGUAGAAUUUGUCUUUGAUUAGGUCCUUGUCUAUGUUCCUUGGAACAGGACGUCAUAGAGGGUGAGAAUCCCGUUUGGCGAGGAUACCUUUUCUCUGUAAGACUUUUUCGAAGAGUCGAGUUGUUUGGGAAUGCAGCUCAAAGUGGGUGGUAAAUUCCAUCUAAAGCUAAAUAUUGGCGAGAGACCGAUAGCGAACAAGUACAGUGAUGGAAAGAUGAAAAGAACUUUGAAAAGAGAGUGAAAAAGUACGUGAAAUUGUUGAAAGGGAAGGGCAUUUGAUCAGACAUGGUGUUUUUUGCAUGCACUCGCCUCUCGUGGGCUUGGGCCUCUCAAAAAUUUCACUGGGCCAACAUCAAUUCUGGCAGCAGGAUAAAUCAUUAAGAAUGUAGCUACUUCGGUAGUGUUAUAGCUUUUUGGAAUACUGUUAGCCGGGAUUGAGGACUGCGCUUCGGCAAGGAUGUUGGCAUAAUGGUUAAAUGCCGCCCGUCUUGAACACCGG